rnacentral:rRNA from 1 species
UUAUCGUUCCGGGUAAAAGAGCUUUACAACCCUAAGGCCUUCAUCACUCACGCGGCAUUGCUGGAUCAGGGUUUCCCCCAUUGUCCAAUAUUCCCUACUGCUGCCUCCCGUAGG